AUCCAGCUGAUGAGUCCGAAGUAAGACGAAACGCGUGUCCUGGAU
rnacentral:hammerhead_ribozyme from 1 species